GACGGACGCUGGCGGCGUGCUUAACACAUGCAAGUCGAACGGUGAAGCUCCAGCUUGCUGGAGUGGAUCAGUGGCGAACGGGUGAGUAACACGUGAGCAACCUGCCCCUGACUCUGGAAUAAGCGCUGGAAACGGCGUCUAAUACUGGAUACGAGAAGGGUCCGCAUGGGCACUUUCUGGAAAGUUCUUCGGUUGGGGAUGGGCUCGCGGCCUAUCAGCUUGUUUGUGAGGUAAUGGCUCACCAAGGCGACGACGGGUAGCCGGCCUGAGAGGGCGACCGGCCACACUGGGCCUGAGACACGGCCCAGACUCCUACGGGAGGCAGCAGUGGGGAAUAUUGCACAAUGGGCGCAAGCCUGAUGCAGCGACGCCGCGUGAGGGAUGACGGCCUUCGGGUUGUAAACCUCUUUCAGCAGGGAAGAAGCGAAAGUGACGGUACCUGCAGAAGAAGCACCGGCUAACUACGUG
rnacentral:rRNA from 1 species